rnacentral:rRNA from 1 species
AUUGAACGCUGGCGGCAGGCCUAACACAUGCAAGUCGAACGAGUGGCGGACGGGUGAGUCAUGCUUGGGAAUCUAGCUUACGGAGGGGGAUAACUACGGGACACUGUAGCUAAUACCGCGUACCAUAGGAUGAGCCCAAGUGGGAUUAGGUAGUUGGUGAGGUAAAGGCUCACCAAGCCGACGAUCUCUAGCUGGUCUGCGAGGAUGACCAGCCACACUGGAACUGAGACACGGCCCAGACUCCUACGGGAGGCAGCAGUGGGGAAUAUUGCGCAAUGGGGGCAACCUGACGCAGCCAUGCCGCGUGAGUGAAGAAGGCCUUCGGGUUGUAAAGUUCUUUCGGUGGCGAGGCGUUAACUGCAGAAGAAGCACCGGCUAACUCCGUGCCAGCCGCCGCGGUAAUUA